GCCGUGGUGGCGGAAUUGGUAGACGCAAGGGACUUAAAAUCCCUCGGGUUUUUAACCUGUGCCGGUUCGACUCCGGCCCUCGGCA
rnacentral:tRNA from 1 species